GCUGAUGUUUUGUAAUGGUGCAGGCAGGGCCGGCGCCACCUAUAAGCAGAGUAGGCCACCGCGUAGAGCGCACUCUGCCUGGGGGCGCCGGUGCUCUCGAGUCCGAAUCCCGACUAGCCGCCGCCCGCUCCACGCCCCCUACUUGUGAUCCAUCCAUCUAAGUUCUAA